rnacentral:rRNA from 1 species
UGGGGAAUUUUGGACAAUGGGCGAAAGCCUGAUCCAGCAAUGCCGCGUGCAGGAUGAAGGCCCUCGGGUUGUAAACUGCUUUUGUACGGAACGAAAAGCCUGGGGCUAAUAUCCCCGGGUCAUGACGGUACCGUAAGAAUAAGCACCGGCUAACUACGUGCCAGCAGCCGCGGUAAUACGUAGGGUGCAAGCGUUAAUCGGAAUUACUGGGCGUAAAGCGUGCGCAGGCGGUUUUGUAAGACAGUGGUGAAAUCCCCGGGCUCAACCUGGGAACUGCCAUUGUGACUGCAAGGCUAGAGUGCGGCAGAGGGGGAUGGAAUUCCGCGUGUAGCAGAGAAAUGCGUAGAUAUGCGGAGGAACACCGAGGGCGAAGGCAAUCCCCUGGGCCUGCACUGACGCUCAUGCACGAAAGCGUGGGGAGCAAACAGG